CCUAAUACAUGCAAGUCGAACGAACUCUGGUAUUGAUUGGUGCUUGCAUCAUGAUUUACAUUUGAGUGAGUGGCGAACUGGUGAGUAACACGUGGGAAACCUGCCCAGAAGCGGGGGAUAACACCUGGAAACAGAUGCUAAUACCGCAUAACAACUUGGACCGCAUGGUCCGAGUUUGAAAGAUGGCUUCGGCUAUCACUUUUGGAUGGUCCCGCGGCGUAUUAGCUAGAUGGUGGGGUAACGGCUCACCAUGGCAAUGAUACGUAGCCGACCUGAGAGGGUAAUCGGCCACAUUGGGACUGAGACACGGCCCAAACUCCUACGGGAGGCAGCAGUAGGGAAUCUUCCACAAUGGACGAAAGUCUGAUGGAGCAACGCCGCGUGAGUGAAGAAGGGUUUCGGCUCGUAAAACUCUGUUGUUAAAGAAGAACAUAUCUGAGAGUAACUGUUCAGGUAUUGACGGUAUUUAACCAGAAAGCCACGGCUAACUACGUGCCAGCAGCCGCGGUAAUACGUAGGUGGCAAGCGUUGUCCGGAUUUAUUGGGCGUAAAGCGAGCGCAGGCGGUUUUUUAAGUCUGAUGUGAAAGCCUUCGGCUCAACCGAAGAAGUGCAUCGGAAACUGGGAAACUUGAGUGCAGAAGAGGACAGUGGAACUCCAUGUGUAGCGGUGAAAUGCGUAGAUAUAUGGAAGAACACCAGUGGCGAAGGCGGCUGUCUGGUCUGUAACUGACGCUGAGGCUCGAAAGUAUGGGUAGCAAACAGGAUUAGAUACCCUGGUAGUCCAUACCGUAAACGAUGAAUGCUAAGUGUUGGAGGGUUUCCGCCCUUCAGUGCUGCAGCUAACGCAUUAAGCAUUCCGCCUGGGGAGUACGGCCGCAAGGCUGAAACUCAAAGGAAUUGACGGGGGCCCGCACAAGCGGUGGAGCAUGUGGUUUAAUUCGAAGCUACGCGAAGAACCUUACCAGGUCUUGACAUACUAUGCAAAUCUAAGAGAUUAGACGUUCCCUUCGGGGACAUGGAUACAGGUGGUGCAUGGUUGUCGUCAGCUCGUGUCGUGAGAUGUUGGGUUAAGUCCCGCAACGAGCGCAACCCUUAUUAUCAGUUGCCAGCAUUAAGUUGGGCACUCUGGUGAGACUGCCGGUGACAAACCGGAGGAAGGUGGGGAUGACGUCAAAUCAUCAUGCCCCUUAUGACCUGGGCUACACACGUGCUACAAUGGAUGGUACAACGAGUUGCGAACUCGCGAGAGUAAGCUAAUCUCUUAAAGCCAUUCUCAGUUCGGAUUGUAGGCUGCAACUCGCCUACAUGAAGUCGGAAUCGCUAGUAAUCGCGGAUCAGCAUGCCGCGGUGAAUACGUUCCCGGGCCUUGUACACACCGCCCGUCACACCAUGAGAGUUUGUAACACCCAAAGUCGGUGGGGUAACCUUUUAGGAACCAGCCGCCUAAGGUGGGACAGAUGAUUAGGGUGAAGUCGUAACAAGGUAGCCGUAGGAGAACCUGCGGCUGGAUCACCUCCU
rnacentral:rRNA from 2 species